rnacentral:sRNA from 1 species
AUCCCCGCCUCCUCCGGCCCGGCGGGGCCGACGAGUCCGGAGGGGCUGCCGCGGGAGCCCCCAGGUUUCCCUAGAUGACAAAUAAACAUUCCUUUUCCUGCGUGAAGAUCGUUUGUGGAAACCUUGGCCAUGGCAUCGAUAUCAGAGCCUGUUACAUUCAGAGAGUUCUGCCCGUUGUACUAUCUCCUCAAUGCCAUUCCGACAAAGAUCCAGAAGGGUUUCCGCUCUAUCGUGGUCUAUCUCACGGCCCUCGACACCAACGGGGACUACAUCGCGGUGGGCAGCAGCAUCGGCAUGCUCUAUCUGUACUGCCGGCACCUCAACCAGAUGAGGAAGUACAACUUUGAGGGGAAGACGGAAUCUAUCACUGUGGUGAAGCUGCUGAGCUGCUUUGAUGACCUGGUGGCAGCAGGCACAGCCUCUGGCAGGGUUGCAGUUUUUCAACUUGUAUCUUCAUUGCCAGGGAGAAAUAAACAGCUUCGGAGAUUUGAUGUCACUGGUAUUCACAAAAAUAGCAUUACAGCUCUGGCUUGGAGCCCCAAUGGAAUGAAAUUGUUCUCUGGAGAUGACAAAGGCAAAAUUGUUUAUUCUUCUCUGGAUCUAGACCAGGGGCUCUGUAACUCCCAGCUGGUGUUGGAGGAGCCGUCUUCCAUUGUGCAGCUGGAUUAUAGCCAGAAGGUGCUGCUGGUCUCUACUCUGCAAAGAAGUCUGCUCUUUUACACUGAAGAAAAGUCUGUAAGGCAAAUUGGAACACAACCAAGGAAAAGGACUUUGUAAGCAAAGUGAUCUAACCUUGUAUGCGUCACGGCCCGGGCUCCGGCUAUGGAAGGCUGAUGUCCACGGGACUGUUCAAGCCACAUUUAUCUUAAAAGAUGCUUUUGCCGGGGGAGUCAAGCCUUUUGAACUGCACCCGCGUCUGGAAUCCCCCAACAGUGGAAGUUGCAGCUUACCUGAGAGGCACCUGGGGCUUGUUUCAUGUUUCUUUCAAGAAGGCUGGGUGCUGAGUUGGAAUGAAUAUAGUAUCUAUCU